AACGAACGCUGGCGGCAUGCCUAACACAUGCAAGUCGAACGAGACCUUCGGGUCUAGUGGCGCACGGGUGCGUAACGCGUGGGAACCUGCCCUUAGGUUCGGAAUAACUUCCCGAAAGGGGUGCUAAUACCGGAUAAUGUCUUCGGACCAAAGAUUUAUCGCCUUUGGAUGGGCCCGCGUUGGAUUAGCUAGUUGGUAGGGUAAAAGCCUACCAAGGCGACGAUCCAUAGCUGGUCUGAGAGGAUGAUCAGCCACACUGGGACUGAGACACGGCCCAGACUCCUACGGGAGGCAGCAGUGGGGAAUAUUGGACAGUGGGCGAAAGCCUGAUCCAGCAAUGCCGCGUGAGUGAUGAAGGCCUUAGGGUUGUAAAGCUCUUUUACCCGGGAUGAUAAUGACAGUACCGGGAGAAUAAGCUCCGGCUAACUCCGUG
rnacentral:rRNA from 1 species